GGUGAGUAACACGUGGGUAACCUGCCCCCGAAUCUGGGAUAACUUCGCGAAAGCGUUGCUAAUACCGGAUCUUGUCCUAUCGGUUGUGACCUUUGGGAUGAAAGGCACCCUCUUCAUGAAAGUUGUCGUUCAGGGAUGGGCCCGCGUACCUUUAGCUUGUGGGUGGGGUAACGGCUCACCAAGGCUACAAUGGUUAGCUGGUCUGACAGGAUGAUCACCCACACUGGAACUGAAACACGGUCCAGACUCCUACGGGAGGCACCAGUGAGGAAUUUUGCGCAAUGGGGGAAACCCUGACGCAGCAACGCCGCGUGAGUGAAGAAGGCUUUCGGGUCGUAAAGCUCUGUCAAGUGGGAAAAAAGUCUGAUGAUUAAUAGUUGUCAGAUUUGAUGGUACCACUGGAGGAAGCACCGGCUAACUCCGUGCCAGCAGCCGCGGUAAUACAGAGGGUGCAAGCGUUGUUCGGAAUUACUGGGCGUAAAGGGCGUGCAGGCGGGUUGGUAAGUCAGAUGUGAAAGCCCUGGGCUUAACCCAGGAAGUGCAUUUGA
rnacentral:rRNA from 1 species